CAGCAGCCGCGGUAAUACGUAGGUGGCAAGCGUUGUCCGGAAUUAUUGGGCGUAAAGGGCUCGCAGGCGGUUUCUUAAGUCUGAUGUGAAAGCCCCCGGCUCAACCGGGGAGGGUCAUUGGAAACUGGGAAACUUGAGUGCAGAAGAGGAGAGUGGAAUUCCACGUGUAGCGGUGAAAUGCGUAGAGAUGUGGAGGAACACCAGUGGCGAAGGCGACCCUCUGGUCUGUAACUGACGCUGAGGAGCGAAAGCGUGGGGAGCGAACAGGAUUAGAGACCCCGUAGUCCCUGUCUCUUAUACA
rnacentral:rRNA from 1 species